rnacentral:rRNA from 1 species
GUCCACACCGUAAACUAUGAUUACUAGAUUUUGGCCUUAUGGUCAGAGUCCAAGCGAAAGUGUUUAGUAAUCCACCUGGGGAGUACGUCCGCAAGGAUGAAACUCAAAGGAAUUGACGGGGGCCCCGCACAAGCGGUGGAGCAUGUGGUUUAAUUCGAUGAUACGCGAGGAACCUUACCUGGGCUUGAAAGUUAGUGACCGUUUCUGAAAAGAGACUUUCCGCAAGGACACGAAACUAGGUGCUGCAUGGCUGUCGU